rnacentral:rRNA from 1 species
CCUACGGGUGGCAGCAGUGGGGAAUAUUGGACAAUGGGCGAAAGCCUGAUCCAGCCAUGCCGCGUGUGUGAAGAAGGUCUUCGGAUUGUAAAGCACUUUAAGUUGGGAGGAAGGGUUGUAGAUUAAUACUCUGCAAUUUUGACGUUACCGACAGAAUAAGCACCGGCUAACUCUGUGCCAGCAGCCGCGGUAAUACAGAGGGUGCAAGCGUUAAUCGGAAUUACUGGGCGUAAAGCGCGCGUAGGUGGUUAGUUAAGUUGGAUGUGAAAUCCCCGGGCUCAACCUGGGAACUGCAUUCAAAACUGACUGACUAGAGUAUGGUAGAGGGUGGUGGAAUUUCCUGUGUAGCGGUGAAAUGCGUAGAUAUAGGAAGGAACACCAGUGGCGAAGGCGACCACCUGGACUGAUACUGACACUGAGGUGCGAAAGCGUGGGGAGCA